GGUGAGUAACACGUGGAUAACCUACCUAUAAGACUGGGAUAACUUCGGGAAACCGGAGCUAAUACCGGAUAAUAUUUUGAACCGCAUAGUUCAAAAGUGAAAGACGGUCUUGCUGUCACUUAUAGAUGGAUUCGCGCUGCAUUAGCUAGUUGGUAAGGUAACGGCUUACCAAGGCAACGAUGCAUAGCCGACCUGAGAGGGUGAUCGGCCACACUGGAACUGAGACACGGUCCAG
rnacentral:rRNA from 1 species